AAAUCAGUCCUUUUCAGGACUACAAAAUUUUGAAAGAAAUCAUCG
rfam:Dendroctonus ponderosae Seq01039655, whole genome shotgun sequence.